UACGUAGGGUGCAAGCGUUGUCCGGAAUUAUUGGGCGUAAAGAGCUUGUAGGCGGUUUGUCGCGUCUGCUGUGAAAUUUCGGGGCUCAACCCCGAACUUGCAGUGGGUACGGGCAGACUAGAGUGUGGUAGGGGAGACUGGAAUUCCUGGUGUAGCGGUGAAAUGCGCAGAUAUCAGGAGGAACCCCAGAGGCGAAGGCGGCGCUCUGGCUCGCAACUGACGCUCAGACACGACAGCAUGGGGAGCGAACGGG
rnacentral:rRNA from 1 species